rnacentral:rRNA from 1 species
GACAGAGGGGGCAAGCGUUGUCCGGAUUGACUGGGCGUAAAGGGCGCGCAGGCGGUUCGUGACGUGCCGUGUGACAGCUGGGAGCUCAACUCCCAGCGGCCAGGGUAGACGCACGGACUGGAGGCAGGGAGAGGGCAGUGGAAUACCCGGUGGAGCGGUGAAAUGCGUAGAGAUCGGGUGGAACACCAGGGGCGAAGGCGGCUGCCUGGCCCUGACCUGACGCUGAGGCGCGAGAGCGUGGGGAGCAAACUGG